rnacentral:misc_RNA from 1 species
AAAGGCGAUAAGUAAUGUGAAUUGCAGAAUUCAGUGAAUCAUCGAAUCUUUGAACGCACCUUGCGCUCCUUGGUAUUCCUUGGAGCAUGCCUGUUUGAGUAUCAUGAAAUCUUCAAAGUAAAUCUUUUGUUAACUCAAUUGGUUUCUACUUUGGUAUUGGAGGUCUUUGCAGCUUCACACCUGCUCCUCUUUGUUCAUUAGCUGGAUCUCAGUGUUAUGCUUGGUUCCACUCGGCGUGAUAAGUUAUCUAUCGCUGAGGACACUGUAAAAGGUGGCCAAGGUAAAUGCAGAUGAACCGCUUCUAAUAGUCCAUUGACUUGGACAAUACUUUUAUGAUCUGAUCUCAAAUCAGGUAGGACUACCCGCUGAACUUAAGC